CAGCAGCCGCCGCGGUAAUACGGAGGGUGCAAGCGUUAAUCGGAAUUACUGGGCGUAAAGCGCACGCAGGCGGUCUGACAAGUCAGAUGUGAAAUCCCCGGGCUUAACCUGGGAACUGCAUUUGAAACUGUCAGGCUGGAGUCUUGUAGAGGGGGGUAGAAUUCCAGGUGUAGCGGUGAAAUGCGUAGAGAUCUGGAGGAAUACCGGUGGCGAAGGCGGCCCCCUGGACAAAGACUGACGCUCAGGUGCGAAAGCGUGGGGAGCAAACAGGAUUAGAUACCCGAGUAGUCCCUGUCUCUUAUAC
rnacentral:rRNA from 1 species